rnacentral:rRNA from 1 species
UACGGGAGGCAGCAGUGGGGAAUUUUCCGCAAUGGGCGAAAGCCUGACGGAGCAAUACCGCGUGAGGGAGGAAGGCUCUUGGGUUGUAAACCUCUUUUCUCAGGGAAGAAGCUCUGACGGUACCUGAGGAAUCAGCAUCGGCUAACUCCGUGCCAGCAGCCGCGGUAAUACGGAGGAUGCAAGCGUUAUCCGGAAUGAUUGGGCGUAAAGCGUCCGCAGGUGGCGAUUCAAGUCUGCUGUCAAAGGUCGGGGCUCAACCCUGAACAGGCGGUGGAAACUGAACAGCUAGAGUGCGGUAGGGGUAGAGGGAAUCCCCGGUGUAGCGGUGAAAUGCGUANAGAUCGGGAAGAACACCAGUGGCGAAAGCACUCUACUAGGCCUGCACUGACACUCAGGGACGAAAGCUAGGGGAGCGAAUGGGAUUAGAUACCCCAGUAGUCCUAGCCGUAAACGAU